CCGAGGUAUACAAACUCAUCAACCACUGUGAACAUACCUAACGUUGCUUCGGCGGGAAUCCAGGGAUCGGCCCUGUACACUGGGGCCGCCCGCCGGCCAGAGGACCCCUAUAGCUCUGUUUUAUAAGGGAUUUUCUGAGUAGCAUAAAUAAACUUAA
rnacentral:misc_RNA from 1 species